rnacentral:miRNA from 1 species
GCUGGCUGGGCUGGGCUGGGCUGGACUGGGCUGACGGUGGCGACAGUGGGCUGAACUCCAUAUGGUAUUUAUCUU